rnacentral:rRNA from 1 species
AGAGUUUGAUCCUGGCUCAGGACGAACGCUGGCGGCGUGCUUAACACAUGCAAGUCGAACGAUGAUCAGGAGCUUGCUCCUGUGAUUAGUGGCGAACGGGUGAGUAACACGUGAGUAACCUGCCCCUGACUCUGGGAUAAGCCUCGGAAACGGGGUCUAAUACCGGAUAUGACUCGAGGCUGCAUGGUCUUGGGUGGAAAGUUCCGGCGGUGGAGGAUGAGCUCGCGGCCUAUCAGCUUGUUGGUGGGGUGAUGGCCUACCAAGGCUUCGACGGGUAGCCGGCCUGAGAGGGUGACCGGCCACAUUGGGACUGAGACACGGCCCAAACUCCUACGGGAGGCAGCAGUGGGGAAUAUUGGACAAUGGGCGCAAGCCUGAUCCAGCCAUGCCGCGUGAGUGAUGAAGGCCCUAGGGUUGUAAAGCUCUUUUGUGCGGGAAGAUAAUGACGGUACCGCAAGAAUAAGCCCCGGCUAACUACGUGCCAGCAGCCGCGGUAAU